GAAAUGCGAUAAUUAAUGUGAAUUGCAGAAUUCAGUGAAUCAUCGAGUCUUUGAACGCACAUUGCGCCCCCUGGUAUUCCGGGGGGCAUGCCUGUCCGAGCGUCAUUGCUGCCCUCAAGCACGGCUUGUGUGUUGGGCUUCCGUCCCUGGCAACGGGGACGGGCCCAAAAGGCAGUGGCGGCACCAUGUCUGGUCCUCGAGCGUAUGGGGCUUUGUCACCCGCUCCCGUAGGUCCAGCUGGCAGCUAGCCUCGCAACCAAUCUUUUUAACCAGGUUGACCUCGGAUCAGGUAGGGAUACCCGCUGUACUUAAGC
rnacentral:misc_RNA from 1 species